GACGGAAGGUGCAAGCGUUGCUCGGAAUCACUGGGCGUAAAGGGUGCGUAGGCGGCCGUGCAAGUCUGGCGUGAAAGCCCCGGGCUCAGCCCGGGAAGUGCGCUCGAAACUGCGCGGCUCGAGUGCCGGAGGGGAGAGUGGAAUUCCUGGUGUAGCGGUGAAAUGCGUAGAUACAAUCAAGAACUCCGAUUGCGUAGGCAGCUAACUAGGCUGUAACUGACGCUGAGGCACGAAAGCGUGGGGAGCGAACAGG
rnacentral:rRNA from 1 species